GAAUAAUGGCGAAAUUUAACGAGGUGCAGAAGAAGAGAAGAGCAAUAAUCUCAGAGAGCAAGAGAGCAAGACAUGGAGACCCAAAUACCCGUAAACUUAAGCAGAAAGUCCAACCUCUUGCUAUCUCCGGGAAGCGUAAACGCAAGCUCUUCAAGAAAUGGCGCAGGGAACAAAAGGAGGCUGUAGAAAAGGGUGUAAUAACAAUGGAGGAUGUGGAGAUGGCUGUGGCUGAUGCUGCUGAAGGGAAAACUCAAGACUCCAAUAAAGCUCAUGUUAAAUUUCCGAUGAAAAAGAGCUCAAAACUUAAAAUGAAGCAACUGAAGAAGAAAGGAAAGAGCAAAAGGAAAUCUGUUAAGCAAGCUACAGAAUCUUCAACAGAUGCAAUGAUGGAGUAAGAAUAGCAAGAAGGGCAUUAGAAUCAUUCGGCUGGCUGCUUGAUAGACAAUGUCUAUCUUUCUCCUCGUCCCAACGUCCUUAAAAGUUAACAAUGGCUUGGUAAUCUACUUUUGUAUUGUCUCGCUACUAUAAAGGAGAGGCGGGUUCUUGUAGUUUAUUUUUGUUAGUGGUUAUAUGUUUUAUGUAUCAUGCAAUUUUGUGGAUAGGAUUGAUUUUCUCGAUUAUAGAUGUUCUGAAACAAGAGCUCGAUAACUCGUGAAGAACAAGUUUGAAUU
rnacentral:misc_RNA from 1 species